rnacentral:rRNA from 1 species
UGGGGAAUAUUGCACAAUGGGGGAAACCCUGAUGCAGCGACGCCGCGUGAGCGAAGAAGGUUUUCGAAUCGUAAAGCUCUGUCCUAUGGGAAGAUAAUGACGGUACCAUAGGAGGAAGCCCCGGCUAACUACGUGCCAGCAGCCGCGGUAAUACGUAGGGGGCAAGCGUUGUCCGGAAUCACUGGGCGUAAAGGGUUCGCAGGCGGAAAUGCAAGUCAGUUGUGAAAGGCAGAGGCUCAACCUCUGUAAGCAAUUGAAACUGUAUUUCUUGAGAUGUGGAGAGGCAAGUGGAAGUCCUAGUGUAGCGGUGAAAUGCGUAGAGAUUAGGAAGAAUACCGGUGGCGAAGGCGACUUGCUGGACACAAACUGACGCUGAGGAACGAAAGCGUGGGUAGCAAACAGG